GACGAACGCUGGCGGCGUGCCUAAUACAUGCAAGUCGAACGCUUUUUCUUUCACCGGAGCUUGCUCCAUCGAAAGAAAAAGAGUGGCGAACGGGUGAGUAACACGUGGGUAACCUGCCCAUCAGAAGGGGAUAACACUUGGAAACAGGUGCUAAUACCGUAUAACACUAUUUUCCGCAUGGAAGAAAGUUGAAAGGCGCUUUUGCGUCACUGAUGGAUGGACCCGCGGUGCAUUAGCUAGUUGGUGAGGUAACGGCUCACCAAGGCAACGAUGCAUAGCCGACCUGAGAGGGUGAUCGGCCACACUGGGACUGAGACACGGCCCAGACUCCUACGGGAGGCAGCAGUAGGGAAUCUUCGGCAAUGGACGAAAGUCUGACCGAGCAACGCCGCGUGAGUGAAGAAGGUUUUCGGAUCGUAAAACUCUGUUGUUAGAGAAGAACAAGGAUGAGAGUAAAAUGUUCAUCCCUUGACGGUAUCUAACCAGAAAGCCACGGCUAACUACGUGCCAGCAGCCGCGGUAAUACGUAGGUGGCAAGCGUUGUCCGGAUUUAUUGGGCGUAAAGCGAGCGCAGGCGGUUUCUUAAGUCUGAUGUGAAAGCCCCCGGCUCAACCGGGGAGGGUCAUUGGAAACUGGGAGACUUGAGUGCAGAAGAGGAGAGUGGAAUUCCAUGUGUAGCGGUGAAAUGCGUAGAUAUAUGGAGGAACACCAGUGGCGAAGGCGGCUCUCUGGUCUGUAACUGACGCUGAGGCUCGAAAGCGUGGGGAGCGAACAGGAUUAGAUACCCUGGUAGUCCACGCCGUAAACGAUGAGUGCUAAGUGUUGGAGGGUUUCCGCCCUUCAGUGCUGCAGCAAACGCAUAAGCACUCCGCCUGGGG
rnacentral:rRNA from 1 species